rnacentral:rRNA from 1 species
CUACGGAGGGUGCAAGCGUUAUUCUGAAUCACUGGGCGUAAAGGACGCGUAGGCGGGUUGGCAAGUCAGAUGUGAAAUCCUACAGCUUAACUGUAGAACUGCAUUUGAAACUGCUAACCUAGAGUAUGGGAGGGGGAGAUGGAAUUAGUGGUGUAGGGGUAAAAUCCGUAGAUAUCACUAGGAAUACCGAAAGCGAAGGCGAUCUCCUGGAACAUAACUGACGCUAAGGCGUGAAAGCGUGGGGAGCAAACAGGAUUAGAAACCCUAGUAGUCC